rnacentral:rRNA from 1 species
GACGCUUUUUCUUUCACCGGAGCUUGCUCCACCGAAAGAAAAAGAGUGGCGAACGGGUGAGUAACACGUGGGUAACCUGCCCAUCAGAAGGGGAUAACACUUGGAAACAGGUGCUAAUACCGUAUAACACUAUUUUCCGCAUGGAAGAAAGUUGAAAGGCGCUUUUGCGUCACUGAUGGAUGGACCCGCGGUGCAUUAGCUAGUUGGUGAGGUAACGGCUCACCAAGGCAACGAUGCAUAGCCGACCUGAGAGGGUGAUCGGCCACACUGGGACUGAGACACGGCCCAGACUCCUACGGGAGGCAGCAGUAGGGAAUCUUCGGCAAUGGACGAAAGUCUGACCGAGCAACGCCGCGUGAGUGAAGAAGGUUUUCGGAUCGUAAAACUCUGUUGUUAGAGAAGAACAAGGAUGAGAGUAAAAUGUUCAUCCCUUGACGGUAUCUAACCAGAAAGCCACGGCUAACUACGUGCCAGCAGCCGCGGUAAUACGUAGGUGGCAAGCGUUGUCCGGAUUUAUUGGGCGUAAAGCGAGCGCAGGCGGUUUCUUAAGUCUGAUGUGAAAGCCCCCGGCUCAACCGGGGAGGGUCAUUGGAAACUGGGAGACUUGAGUGCAGAAGAGGAGAGUGGAAUUCCAUGUGUAGCGGUGAAAUGCGUAGAUAUAUGGAGGAACACCAGUGGCGAAGGCGGCUCUCUGGUCUGUAACUGACGCUGA